CACGUAGGGGCCAAGCGUUGUCCGGAUUUACUGGGCGUAAAGCGCACGUAGGCGGAUCUUUAAGUCAGGGGUGAAAUCCCGAGGCUCAACCUCGGAACUGCCUUUGAUACUGGGGAUCUCGAGUCCGGGAGAGGUGAGUGGAACUGCGAGUGUAGAGGUGAGAUUCGUAGAUAUUCGCAAGAACACCAGUGGCGAAGGCGGCUCACUGGCCCGGUACUGACGCUGAGGUGCGAAAGCGUGGGGAGCAAACAGG
rnacentral:rRNA from 1 species